rnacentral:rRNA from 1 species
AUUGAACGCUGGCGGCAGGCCUAACACAUGCAAGUCGAACGAGUGGCGGACGGGUGAGUAAUGUCUGGGAAACGGCCCGAUGGAGGGGGAUAACGACUGGAAACGGUAGCUAAUACCGCAUACCAUCGGAUGUGCCCAGAUGGGAUUAGCUAGUAGGUGGGGUAACGGCUCACCUAGGCGACGAUCCCUAGCUGGUCUGUGAGGAUGUACAGCCACACUGGAACUGAGACACUGUCCAGACUCCUACGGGAGGCAGCAGGGGGGAAUAUUGCACAAUGGGCGCAAGCCUGAUGCAGCCAUGCCGCGUGUAUGAAGAAGGCCUUCGGGGUGUAAAGUACUUUCAGCGAGGAGGCGUUACUCGCAGAAGAAGCACCGGCUAACUCCGUGCCAGCAGCCGCGGUAAUAC